rnacentral:rRNA from 1 species
CCUACGGGUGGCAGCAGUAGGGAAUAUUGCUCAAUGGGGGAAACCCUGAAGCAGCAACGCCGCGUGGAGGAUGAAGGUUUUCGGAUUGUAAACUCCUUUUGUUAGAGAAGAUAAUGACGGUAUCUAACGAAUAAGCACCGGCUAACUCCGUGCCAGCAGCCGUGGUAAUACGGAGGGUGCAAGCGUUACCCGGAAUCACUGGGCGUAAAGAGCGCGUAGGCGGGAUAGCAAGUCAGAAGUGAAAUCCUAGGGCUUAACCAUAGAACUGCAUUUGAAACUGUUAUUCUAGAGUAUGGGAGAGGUAGGUGGAAUUCUUGGUGUAGGGGUAAAAUCCGUAGAGAUCAAGAGGAAUACUCAUUGCGAAGGCGACCUGCUAGAACAUAACUGACGCUGAUGCGCGAAAGCGUGGGGAGCAAACAGGAUUAGAUACCCGGGUAGUC